AGCUUUGCACAGUGGCAGUAUCACAGCCAAUGAGGUUUAUCCGAGGUGCAAUUAUUGCUAAUUGAAAACUUUUCCCAAUACUCCACUGUGACAACUUGCAAAAUUUAGUCGGCAUUGGCAAUUUUUGACAGUCUCUAUGGAGA
ensembl:snRNA U4 U4 spliceosomal RNA